rnacentral:rRNA from 1 species
AACGAACGCUGGCGGCAGGCUUAACACAUGCAAGUCGAACGCACCUUUCGGGGUGAGUGGCAGACGGGUGAGUAACGCGUGGGAAUCUACCCUUCUCUACGGGAUAGCUCCGGGAAACUGGAAUUAAUACCGUAUACGUCCUGAGGGAGAAAGAUUUAUCGGGGAAGGAUGAGCCCGCGUUGGAUUAGCUAGUUGGUGGGGUAAAGGCCUACCAAGGCGACGAUCCAUAGCUGGUCUAAGAGGAUGAUCAGCCACAUUGGGACUGAGACGCGGCCCAAACUCCUACGGGAGGCAGCAGUGGGGAAUAUUGGACAAUGGGCGCAAGCCUGAUCCAGCCAUGCCGCGUGAGUGAUGAAGGCCCUAGGGUUGUAAAGCUCUUUCAGUGGGGACGAUAAUGACGGUACCCACAGAAGAAGCCCCGGCUAACUUCGUG